rnacentral:rRNA from 1 species
UACGUAGGGCGCAAGCGUUGUCCGGAAUUAUUGGGCGUAAAGAGCUCGUAGGCGGUUUGUCGCGUCUGCUGUGAAAACCUAAGGCUCAACCUUGGGCUUGCAGUGGGUACGGGCAGACUAGAGUUCGGUAGGGGAGACUGGAAUUCCUGGUGUAGCGGUGAAAUGCGUAGAUAUUGGGAAGAACACCGGUGGCGAAGGCGGCUAUCUGGACCGACAUUGACGCUGAGGCGCGAAAGCGUGGGGAGCAAACAGG